GAUGGGUAGGGGAGCGUCGUGUGCCGGGUGAAGCUGCGCCGGAAGGCAGUGGUGGACGGUUCACGAGUGAGAAUGCAGGCAUGAGUAGCGAUACAUACGUGAGAAACGUGUGCGCCGAUUGACUAAGGGUUCCUGGGUCAAGCUGAUCUGCCCAGGGUAAGUCGGGACCUAAGGCGAGGCCGACAGGCGUAGUCGAUGGAUAACCGGUUGAUAUUCCGGUACCCGCUGUGAAGCGUCAAACAUCGA
rnacentral:ncRNA from 1 species